UAAAAAGCUCGUAGUUGGAUCUGUGUAUCGGACGGUCGGUUCGCCGCUCGCGGUGUUUGACUGACCGGUUCGGACGUCAUGCCGGUGGGACCUCGUCGCAAGGCGGGGUUCCGUAACUUACCCUCCGCGCUGCUCUUAACCGAGUGGUUCGGUGGGCCGGCACGUUUACUUUGAACAAAUUUGAGUGCUCAAAGCAGGCCUUAUGUUGCCUGAAAACUGUGUGCAUGGAAUAAUGAAAGAGGACCUUGGUUCUAUUUUGUUGGCUUUCUGAACUCGAGGUAAUGAUUAACAGGGACAGACGGGGGCAUUCGUAUUGCGACGUUAGAGGUGAAAUUCUUGGAUCGUCGCAAGACGGACCGAUGCGAAAGCGUUUGCCAAGAAUGUUUUCGCUAAUCAAGAACGAAAGUUAGAGGUUCGAAGGCGAUUAGAUACCGCCCUAGUUCUAACCAUAAACGAUGUCAGCCAGCGAUGCGCCGAUGUUCCUCCGAUGACACGGCGCGCAACUUCCGGGAAACCAAAGCUUUUGGGUUCCGGGG
rnacentral:rRNA from 1 species